rnacentral:rRNA from 1 species
AAUGAACGUUGGCGGCGUGGAUUAGGCAUGCAAGUCGUACGGGUCGGUGUAGCAAUACAACGGCAAGUGGCGAAAGGGAGAGUAACACGUAGAUACCUACCCUCUGGUCGGGGAUACCGCGGCAUAACCGCAAGUAAUACCCGAUAAAAUCUCCGGAUCAAAGGUGUGAUUCCGCCGGAGGAGGGGUCUGCGUUCUAUCAGCUUGUUGGUGAGGUAAUGGCUCACCAAGGCUAAGACGGAUACGGGGUGUGAGAGCAUGCCCCCGCUCACUGGGACUGAGACACUGCCCAGACACCUACGGGUGGCUGCAGUCGAGAAUCUUCGGCAAUGGGCGCAAGCCUGACCGAGCGACGCCGCGUGCGGGAUGAAGGCCUUCGGGUUGUAAACCGCUGUCGAGGGGAAUGAAGUGUAGGUGGGUACUCCCAUCUAUUUGACAGAUCCCUGGAGGAAGCAUGGGCUAAGUUCGUGCCAGCAGCCGCCGUAA